AAGCGGUGGAUGAUGUGGAUUAAUUCGAUGCAACGCGAAAACCUUACCUACCCUUGACAUGUCCGGAAUCCGAAGAGAUUUGGGAGUGCUCGCAAGAGGACCGGAACACAGGUGCUGCAUGGCUGUCGUCAGCUCGUGUCGUGAGAUGUUGGGUUAAGUCCCGCAACGAGCGCAACCCUUGUCAUUAGUUGCCAUCAUUUGGUUGGGCACUCUAAUGAGACUGCCGGUGACAAACCGGAGGAAGGUGGGGAUGACGUCAAGUCCUCAUGGCCCUUAUGGGUAGGGCUUCACACGUCAUACAAUGGUCGGUACAGAGGGUUGCCAACCCGCGAGGGGGAGCUAAUCCCACAAAGCCGAUCGUAGUCCGGAUCGCAGUCUGCAACUCGACUGCGUGAAGUCGGAAUCGCUAGUAAUCGUGGAUCAGAAUGUCACGGUGAAUACGUUCCCGGGUCUU
rnacentral:rRNA from 1 species